GCCUUCUUAGCUCAGUGGUAGAGCGCGCCACUCGUAAACAGCUACGGCUGAUUCGGUAAUGGUGAGGUCGGUUGUUCAAUCCAGCCAGGAGGCA